UCUCCUUCUCUAGCCAAGAAACGUCUUCAGUCAGUUCUUCCUCAAUCUCCAGCUUCCAGCUACAUCUUAAUACUCUACAGAGAUGCAACAUGCCCAUGACAAUGACAACUUUUAUAUGGUCCCCGCGGAGGAGCUGGUUGCCUUGGGAAUGGACAGAGACCAUGGAGCUCUAGGAGCAGGCUCUGCGAUUUACAACAGAUUUACAACAUCAGGAAAUACGGAAUUAUUUGAAGGUGAAGGUCACGAUGUCUGCAACCUGUUCUGAAAUGGUCUAACAUUAUUCACAACAGCAAUAAUAAAUAUAUAUGGAAGAAAUCAAAUAUGGAAAAAUAGUCACAGUUAGUAAUCUAUGUUAAAAGUAUAUGGAAGUUCAUUGUAUUAUUCUUUCACUGAACCUGUUUGAAAUUCUAAAAAAAAAAAAAAAGGAAUUUAAAUAUUAAAAAAAACAAGUUAGAAAAUAAAUAAAAUCUUAAAAAAAAAAAAAAAAACAAGUUAGUGUGAUCCUAAUUCCAUUUGGCACGAUGAUGAAAAAUUCAGUCUUACUCAUUUAUGGGAGCAGUUCGCUCCUCCUCAGGGGUUUUACAUAGUGCAAAACAUUCAGGAAGGGCACUCUAGC